rnacentral:tRNA from 1 species
GAGGGUGUAGCUCAGGUGGUAGAGCCCAAGCUCAGCACGCACGAGGUCCUGGGUUCAAUCCCCAGCACCUGCU